GGGAAAAUAGGUGGAAAUUCAAAAAUCAAGUGAAAAAAGGUGGUGAGUCAAUUGUUUCGGGUAAGAGACUGCACCCGAGGGCGGAGGAUAAGAGUAUUUCUACUCCUAAUACUGCUCAGGACAAUUUGUAGAUAGUCGAGUAGGACGAGAACUAAGCUCGAAACUGCAUUAUAGAAAGUAAAAGUUCACAGUCUUACAUCCUCUUGAUCAAUUGGGGCCUACGUGUCAUUGCAGAUCAAAUCUUAUAUUUUGGUUAUCUGUAUUUUUAUUCAUAUAAUUUUUACUUUACUUUCAUGUGCGAAAAAAUUAUU